GGAAUUUUGGACAAUGGGCGCAAGCCUGAUCCAGCAAUGCCGCGUGAGUGAAGAAGGCCUUCGGGUUGUAAAGCUCUUUUGUCAGGGAAGAAACGGGUCUUUCUAAUACAGAGGCCUAAUGACGGUACCUGAAGAAUAAGCACCGGCUAACUACGUGCCAGCAGCCGCGGUAAUACGUAGGGUGCAAGCGUUAAUCGGAAUUACUGGGCGUAAAGCGUGCGCAGGCGGUUUUGUAAGUCUGUUGUGAAAUCCCCGGGCUCAACCUGGGAAUGGCAAUGGAGACUGCAAGGCUAGAGUUUGGCAGAGGGGGGUAGAAUUCCACGUGUAGCAGUGAAAUGCGUAGAUAUGUGGAGGAACACCGAUGGCGAAGGCAGCCCCCUGGGUCAAAACUGACGCUCAUGCACGAAAGCGUGGGGAGCAAACAGGAUUAGAUACCCUAG
rnacentral:rRNA from 1 species